rnacentral:tRNA from 1 species
GUCCUCGUAGCUCAAAUGGAUAGAGCGUCUCGUUGCGGACGAGAAGGUUGAGUGUUCGAGUCACUCCGAGGACGCAA